GUCAUGUUGGCACUGAUGGGU
rnacentral:miRNA from 1 species